rnacentral:lncRNA from 1 species
GUGCUUUCUAAAGAUGGUGAAACACUUGGAGAAUGAGUAGAUAUAAAGGGGGCUCAGUUGGAGGAAGCAGAGCUGGUUGGUCCGAACCCAACUUAAUAAUGGGGAUAGAUCUCUCAUCCUGGGCAGAGAGACCUUCCUGGAGGAAUUUUCUUCCCAAGCUGUGCCUGGUCUUUACAAGUUACUCCAUCUGCAUGAACUAUUGAACCUUCCCUGAGAACCUGUCAUGGACUUGCCCAACUUCUGUUGGAACAGCUCCAACCACAAGGAGAAUCUCAUGCUGAUCAAAAUCUUCUCAAAGUCCUCAGCUCCUCCUACCCCACAGGAAUGCUCCUAUUUGACCAGAGAACUAAGGUUGCAGGACAAACUGCUAGACCAGAACCUAGAGAGACAGGUGGACCCAGAGAGAAACAGUGGAAAUCUGCUUACCCUGGGUAGAAACUAUUGGAACCUUAAACUGUACAUAGUUGUAUAUUUUACUUGUG